UACAGAGGGGGCAAGCGUUAUUCGGAAUUAUUGGGCGUAAAGGGCGCGUAGGCGGCCUGGCAAGUGGAUGGUGAAAUCCCUCGGCUUAACCGAGGAACUGCCAUCCAGACUGCUUGGCUUGAGACCGGGAGAGGUGAGUGGAAUUCCCAGUGUAGCGGUGAAAUGCGUAGAUAUCUGGAGGGACACCGGUGGCGAAGGCGGCAUCCUGGACCAAUUCUGACGCUGAGGAGCGAAAGCCAGGGGAGCAAACGGG
rnacentral:rRNA from 1 species